AUUCUCAAGGAUGUGAUGUCAGCGAACGCCACUCAGGGACUGUUCCAGUGAGUACAAUCCUUCCAAUUCUACAGAGAAUCCAGAAUAUUCCCCACUGAAAAUGUUCAAGGAUGCAGGGUCUUCCUUCACAGAGGCCGCGACAACAACCCGGAUGGACAACCUAUCCAGAGGGUGCAUUUGGCAUUUGGAGUGGAAGUGGGUUCCCUGUAGUUCCCCAUCAUACUUUCAAAAGGACGGGCUGCUGGUCUCCUCCGAGGAAGUGCGCCCCCUUGAGUACAUCUGGGAAGAAACG